UACAGAGGUCUCAAGCGUUGUUCGGAAUCACUGGGCGUAAAGGGUGCGUAGGCGGGUCUUUAAGUCAGGGGUGAAAUCCUGGAGCUCAACUCCAGAACUGCCUUUGAUACUGAGGAUCUUGAGUUCGGGAGAGGUGAGUGGAACUGCGAGUGUAGAGGUGAAAUUCGUAGAUAUUCGCAAGAACACCAGUGGCGAAGGCGGCUCACUGGCCCGAUACUGACACUGAGGAGCGAAAGCGUGGGGAGCGAACAGG
rnacentral:rRNA from 1 species